AAAUUGAAGAGUUUGAUCAUGGCUCAGAUUGAACGCUGGCGGCAGGCCUAACACAUGCAAGUCGAACGGUAACAGGAAACAGCUUGCUGUUUCGCUGACGAGUGGCGGACGGGUGAGUAAUGUCUGGGAAACUGCCCGAUGGAGGGGGAUAACUACUGGAAACGGUAGCUAAUACCGCAUAACGUCGCAAGACCAAAGAGGGGGACCUUCGGGCCUCUUGCUAUCGGAUGUGCCCAGAUGGGAUUAGCUAGUAGGUGGGGUAACGGCUCACCUAGGCGACGAUCCCUAGCUGGUCUGAGAGGAUGACCAGCCAC
rnacentral:rRNA from 1 species